CUGCCCCAAUUCGGGAUCUCAAUUCUCAAACCCUUUCUAACCCCAAUUCGCGAGCUCCCCAGGUUCUCUGGCGAGUAUGAAUGCUCAGAGAAUUCACUCAAUUCGCAUCUAAUACACGUCUACCCAAUUCGCGAGCUCCCCAAUUCCUUCUGCCUAUCUGGCGAGUAUGAACGCUCAGAGACCUCAAAUCAGAUUACAUAGUUCUCAGAGGAGCUGAAGAUAUGGCAGCUAAUGGAAAAUGAAACUAAUGUGUCACUACAUAUAUGUUAUUUUGCACUUUUAGAUCUGCUGAUGUUGAUACAAAUGAAAAUUUUAGUGGAGAUGGCAUAGUAUGAAGGCUUGAAGUUUAUCACUGUGGAUCGUCCUUUUGCUGAGAAGCGCUAUUGAAAAUUUGUCUGCAAAGCCCCUUUUCAAUGGAUUGGUUGUCUGCAAAGCACUAUUGAAAUUUGGCUUCCCUUAGAUACUGCCAAUGAUACUCUCUUUUCCAAUCUGCUUAGGUUAACUUUUUAGUCUUGGUUUUUAUUCAAGACUGGUGUUGCCUAGUAUGGCUGAGACAUGUAGCUUGUUACUAGUGCUUCUGGUAAACUGUACUAUCUACCAAUUUAAAUGCAGUUUGAUAUGAAGUUUAAUCAAGUA